UACGGGGGGGGCAAGCGUUGUUCGGAAUUACUGGGCGUAAAGGGCUCGUAGGCGGCCAACUAAGUCAGACGUGAAAUCCCCCGGCUUAACCAGGGAACUGCGUCUGAUACUGGAUGGCUUGAGUUUGGGAGAGGGAUGCGGAAUUCCAGGUGUAGCGGUGAAAUGCGUAGAUAUCUGGAGGAACACCGGUGGCGAAGGCGGCAUCCUGGACCAACACUGACACUGAGGAGCGAAAGCCAGGGGAGCAAACGGG
rnacentral:rRNA from 1 species